CGUCGCGGGCCGGAUGGGAAAGGCCGGGAGCGCCGGCGGGAGGCGGGACGGCCGCGGGCUCUGCGCCCGCCCUCGGCGCGGACCCUGGGCCCCGACCCCGCGGUCGCCGGGGCUCCCCUUCCUCUGUCCCAGUGCGCCCAGCCCCGCGCUCCGCACCCGGGCACCCCCGCGGGGUUCUCCUGAGUUCCUGGAGCUCCCGGGGCUGGCGCUCACGCCGUGAGAGGGGUGCGCCCUUAGGGGGGCGGGACGGACGGGGGGUUUCUACGGGAGGUAGGAAACGGGCGGCUUGCAAGGCGCGGGCUUAGGCCGGAGCCUGGUGGUGCGAGGUCCCCAGCUCGGAUUUCUCCCUGGUGGAGAGUCCCGGAGCAGAACAAACCAGCAGAGGCUCUGGAAAGGGUCCUCCUGAGCACGUGGCUCAUUCAUUCAUUCGACAAACGUUACCUGAGCGCCUGCCCACUCAUUGCCCGAGUGUGCUGGGAGCGCCGCACCAACUGCCUGGUAGGUGGGAGAAGGGACACGUCAGGUAACAAACAGCACAGGUAAGUGCCGGCCACUCAAAUGGGGUGGAAAGAGGUGGCACAGCGCUGCCGAGGGAGUGCGUUCCAGACAGGUGACCUCUUGCUUGGGUGCUGAAUGAGUGGAGUUUUCCAGAGAGACCAAGAGGAAGCAGCCGCAGAAACCUCAGCCCAGCUGGGCUUGCAGAAGCUAAUGCUAGAAUAGUUGUGGGACUCAGGAUCUGCUGAAGUCGGGGGAAGAGAGAAGUAGGGAAAGGAAAGCCCAGGCCACGCGUGGGGCUCAGGAACGGCAUCCUCGCCCGAGAAAAGAGAGGUUAAAACCAAGACAUGGACAAAGCCUCCGAAUGAAGGCAGCCCUUUAAAUGGAAUAAAUUUGGUUUCAUGGCACAUUAAUGGGGUGUCUUCUCUCCGAAGACACAGAGACAACUACAGUAGGUCUGGGGGCCGUCAGGGAUUGGAGGAACGAAGGUAAGAAAAGGAAGAAGGUAAGAAAAAGAGGUCCCUACCUCUGUGAGGUAGGGACAGUGCUGAACAGCAGGGCUGGGAGAGCCCACAGGGAGGUGGCCAGGAUGGCCACAGGGCCUGGGGAGGACCAGGUGGGGCACCAUCCUGCGGUAGAGAAUGCCCGUCACCUGCCCUAGGGGCCACCCAGAAUGCAGAUUAAAUAAGUAUUUGGGAAUGGCACAGGAGCUUUUCCAUUUUCGUGGGUUAGAGGAAAGCUGCUGCGUUCAAGAGGAUAACGUGGGACCUGAGCAUUCUGGUAAGUCAACCCCACAUUCAUGGAAAGCCACGGGCUCUGUUUUACUGAUAAGGAACUGAAGUCCCACAGAGGAAGUGGCCAGGCUCACUCACACACAGCAUGCACUUGAAGCUUUCUGUGGAAAUCAGAAACCUCCGGGGCUCAGGCGCUGUAGUGGUGGCCUGGUGACUCUGACCCCUUGAAGGAGAAGCAUCUGUGAAGGUGCUGUCCAGGACAAGUAGGGUGCUCUACGGUAAAGGACAUGGUGGCCUGACCUGCUCCAGAGCAGGGAGGCCUCCCUUGAGGAAAUAAGAUAAACCCAGACUUUAAGGAUAAGCAGAAACCAGCUAGGUGAACUGGAGUGGGAACAGCACGUGAAAAGGCCCUGGUUUAGGAAGGAGCACCACUCCUUCAGAGCACAGAAAGGCCAGGAUGGCCGAAGCAUAGGGAACAACAGGAAAGUGACAUAAAUUGAGGCUGCAGAGGUAGAAGAAGGGCCUUAUUGGUCGUGCUAGGAAUUUGGAAUUCUGCAAAGAAGCCUGGGAAACAGAUUUUGGUGACACUCGCCUUCUCUUUAAUGUGCAGUUUCAGUUCUGUUGGUGUGAUUCUGCAUUGGAGAUGGCGUGCUGUAACGAAUGGCCAGGAGCUUAAGAGUCAUGCAGACUUGGGAGGCCUGGCCUUGCCACGCCCAGCUGCAUGGCCAUCCUCCUCCUGUUUCUGGCCGUUCUGUUUCUAAACCUUGGGGUUCUGAUAUUCCUACAUGUAAACUAGGGGCUGUAAUAGGAAUCUCACAGGUGAGUCUUAGGAUUAUAAGAGGAGACAUGACUGCAUGUGUAAGACAUCAUAAUGAUGUGCUUCCUCAUCUGACCCUACCUCCAGGUUCUUUGAUAACCUCAUGGUUCCCAUUUUCUAGAACAGUUGCCACUUGCACUCAGAUAAAGGUGACUCACUGAAUGCAUAAAUAAGUGUAGUGCCGGAUUUGCAUACUUUUGGUAGACUGUCAUAUAAUAAAUUUAUAAAUCAGAAUUUUAAAACUCCAGGUGGGGCCGGGCACAGUGGCCCAUGCUUGUAAUCCCAGCCAGCAUUUUGGGAGGCUGAGGCAGGCAGAUCACUUGAGGUCAGGAGCUCGAGGUCAGCCUGGCCAACCAGGGUUUUAGUAGAAACCCUGUCUGUACUAAAAAUACAAAAAUUAGCUGGGCGUGGGUGCGCAUACCUGUAGUCCCAGCUACUCAGGAGGCUGAGGCAGGAGAAUUGUUUGAACCCAGGAGGUGGAGAUUGCAGUGAAGCAAGAUCGCACCGCUGCACUCCUGCCUGGGUGACAGAGUGAGACUCCAUCUCAAAAACAAACAAAACAAAACUCCAGGUGGACCACGGGCCAGGUGGUUGUAGCUUCAGUCCCUUGAUUGCAACAUGUGCCCAAGUUUGGCUGAGAUGUACCUGUAGCCACGGUCCUUGAAGCCCUGAGAAGAUUUGUCAGCAUCCCCACGGUGCUCCAGCAGUGCUCUCAUCUUGUGGCUCUAAAUCGAGUCCAUGGCCCUCUCUCACUGUCCUAUGGUUGCAUAAGCUCAGAACUGGCUUCGUCUCCAAUUCCAGGAGCCCUGGAGGUUGUGGCCUGUUGACAUUUUUACCUCCUGAGUCAAUGUGGCUGGGCCACAGGUCUCAGUUGCCCUCCCAGGCAUCUUGCAGGACUUGGAUCUGUGCCAAGCUUGUGGGUGUGAACAAGCCCAAGAAUGCUGAGGCUCUCAGUUGCUCAGUGCUGCCCAUCACUGGGAUUUCAGAGUAGUGACCCCCCUCCUCCAAGAUACAACAGAAUCUUGCUUUGGGGCCAUGAAGAACACAAUCAAUAUUACAGUUUUAAAUCUUGAAAAGUACAGUUUUAAUUUUUUUAAUUCCAAAAAAUUUCACACAUGUGCACUGCAAAUUCAGGAGGUAAAUUCAGCAAAAUCUUGCCUGGUGGAGGUACCAGAAGGCACAGUGAGUCAAUGGGGCAUGUUUCUCAGUCGGUGGGGAGAGAUGAGAAUGGAACAGGGAUGUGGAGAUUUUAUGCAGGAAAAGGGGCCUGACCACAGAUUUUUUGCCCUUUGAAAGGAGAGGAACAAGGCCUAUGCCCACUGCCUCUUGGAUUCAGUGGGAGAUCUGGGCAUCAUACUGGAUGACCAGGCAUGUAGUCACAAUGCACAAUGCCACCCAGCCCAAAAGUGUAUAUUCAAGACUUUAGACCCAACUUCGUGCUUACAGGAAAUAGAGGAGGUUGAGGAACAAGUGACACCAUAAGAAAUACAGUGAAACAGGCCAGGCACCGUGGCUCAUGCCUGUAACUCUGAGCACUUUGGGAGGCCGAGAUGGGCAGAUCACCUGAGGUCAGGAGUUCAAGACUAGUCUGGCCAACGUGGUGAAACCCCAUCUCUACUAAAAAAAAAUAUCUGGGCAUGGUGGCAGGCACCUGUAAUCCCAGCUACUCAAGAGGCUGAGGCAUGAGAAGCACUGGAACCCGGGAGGCCGAGGUUGCAGUGAACAGAGAUCGUGCCAUUGCACUCCAGCCUGGGGGAACAAGAGUGAAACUCCAUCUCAAAAAAAAAAAAAAAAGACACUGAAACAAAGCCAGAAGGUAGAAUAUUCUUUCAGGUAGUAGUCUGGUCUCUUCAAUAGUCAAUAUUAUAGAGCAAGAAGGGGCCAGUGGAGAAGAGCUGUUCUAGAUUUUAAAAGAUGUAAGAAAUACAACAUUUGGCCGGGCGCGGUGGCUCACGCCUGUCAUCCCAGCACUUAGGUAGGCCGAGGUGGGCGGAUCAUGAGGUCAGGAGAUCGAGACCAUCCUGGCUAACAUGGUGAAACCCCGUCUCUACUAAAAAUAGAAAAAAUUAGCCGGGCAUGGUGGCAUGCACCUGUAGUCCCAGCUACUCAGGAGGUUGAGGCAGGAGAAUGGCGUGAACCCGGGAGGCGGAGCUUGCAGUGAGCCGAGAUCGCGCCACUGCACUCCAGCCUGGGUGACAGAGCAAGACUCCAUCUCAAAAAAAGAAAAGAAAAGAAAUACAACAUUUAAAUGCACUGUGUUAUCCUUAAUUGGAAACUGCUUUAAUUAUCCAACACUAAAAAAAUGUCAAGGGCAAGAGGUGGUUUGAACUAUGGACUGGUGUUAGAUGAUGUAUUUUUUUUAUUUUGUUAAGUAUAAUAAUAGUUGUUAUGGUUAGGUGGGAAAAGAUCCUUAAAUUUUAGAGCUGCAUGCUGGAGUAUUUAGAAGUGAACCGUCAUUGUAUUUGUUAUUUAAAAUACUACAGGAAUAAACAAGAUGAAGCAAAA